rnacentral:lncRNA from 1 species
AAAGUCCAUAGUUCUGGGGAAGUCUCGAAAUGUACUACCCUUGCUUUGCGACUUCUGUAGUUCUGCUGCUGGCUACCUGUUCUUGUUAACUGAACUCUGCCAAUCCAGGACAUCGUUUUUGUGCUUACAAGCUCACCUUGAGAAGGGAUUCCAGACCUCAGAGUAGUUGUUAGCCAGCGAGUAAAGACUUUCUGUUGGCUUAAACCCACAUCUAAGCAGUCAUCUCUGGUGAACUACCCAGCAGCAACCUGUGCUUGAUCCCUGGAGCCACAGAUGGUGGAGAGAAAUGACUUCCACAGACUAUGGGCUUCACAUGCCCAUAAGCACUUGUGUGCACAUAGAAACACAAUAAAGUGGGGGGAAAAAACAGUUCAGUGGGAAAAUGUUUGCAAGAAGAAAAUGUGCUACAUGUACACAUUUGUCUCAGGAUUUGACCAGGAAUUGUUUUGGUUUGAUGAAAAACCAGGACCAAAGCAACUUGGGAAGAGAAGAGUUGGCUGACAUUUCCACACUUCACUGGAACUCAGGACAAGAAAUCAAACAGGGCAGGUUCCUGAGGCAGGAGCUGAUGCAGAAGCCAUGGAGGGGUGCUGCCUAGGGACUUGCUCAGCCUGCUUUUUUACGGAAUGCAGGACCACCAGCCCAGUGUGGCACCACCCACAUUGGGUUGGACUCUCCUCAUCAAUCACUAAUUAAGAAAAUACCUUACACUAAUCCCAGCACUUGGGAGGCAGAGGCAGGCAGAUUUCUGAGUUCAAGGCUAGCCUGGUUUACAGAGUGAGUUCCAGGACAGCCAGGGCUACACAGAGAAACCCUGUCUCUGAAAAAAAGAAAGAAAGAGAGAGAGAGAGAGAGAGAGAGAGAGAGAGAGAGAGAGAGAGAGAGAGAAGAGAAGAGAAGAGAAGAGAAGAGAAGAGAAGAGAAGAGAAGAGAAGAGAAGAGAAGAGAAAGAAAGGAAAGGAAAGAGAG